GCCGCCCCCGCCGCCCCCCGUGAUUCUGGCCCAUAGUCCCGUAAGCCCCCAGCGGACACCAGCCUCAGCCGCCAGACGUGGGAGGGAAUGAACUUCCAGAUGAUUCUACCCCCCGACUGCCUUUGAGCUGCCAGCCGAGCCCCCCGGGGAUGUCACGGAGCAGAGAGCAAUGGUCCCUACUGUGCCUGCCUGAGUCCCCGACCCACAGAAACCGCGAGAAAAAAUACAAGGUGAUUAUCGUUUUGAGCCACCGGGUUUGGGGACAGUUUGUUAUGCAAAAUGUAACCGGAACAGAUGGAAUUCGAUACUAAGAGGCGGUGCCUGUGUGAGGGACACGAGGGGCAGUAGCUGGCCUCUGCGGGUCCCUCCUUCCUGCCCCCCGGGAGGAACGGGGGACUUAAGUGACGGAGACCUGGGGGCUCUGGCCCCUCUCUCUUUCCGCCUCACAUCACGUGGGUCUGCUCCGUGGGCAGCAAGGCUGCUGUCCCAGUGCAACCUUGACCUUCCCAGGGGUAGACCUGCUCAGAUCUGGGGCCCGGGGUUCAUCGGCCUGUGACCCUCAUGUCUAUGACGUAGGCGAUCUGAAUCCAGCCUUUUCAGUGAUGGAGGCCACACUUCAGUUUUUGCCUGCAGAGCUCGUCCACUUCCUCAAGGGUUCAGAACUCCAGCGGAGUGAAUACUGGGCCCCCGUUGAAUUGUGCCCCCAAAGAUAUGUCCGAGUCCCCACGGAAAAGGGUCAUUACAGGUGUCACUGAGUGAAAGACCUUGAGAUCAUCCUCGAUGCACUGGGGGGGGGCCCUCAAUCGGGGGACAAGUGUGCUUGUCCGAAGAGGAGAGCACCCAGACGGAGGGGAGGGGCCACGUGGAGAUGGAGGCAGAGGCUGGAGGGAGCCCGGCCCCAGGGCCAUCUUGAUUUCAGACUCUGGCCCCCAGUACUGAGAGAGAGCACCUGUCUGUUGUUUCAAGCCCCCAGCCUGUGGUCAUUUGUCAAGGCUGCCCCCCUACGUCCCCUGAAGCCCCAGCUGAGAAAGCCUUGGACGUAGCACACCCCGGGGGGAAAAGCCCCGGAUGGAGACUGGGUCGGGGGUCACCAGCACAGAGAAGGAGGGAGACCGGGAGAGGAGGGGAGCCUGGAGCACGGCUUGCAGGUUGGAAGAGGAGGUGGGGACAGCAAGGGGGCUGGGAGAUGCCUGGAACCCCGCUGCCCACUGUUGACAGGCAGCUCAGGGCCGUAGGAACCCCUGGGUUUGUUUGAGUCCUGGCCUGGGCGCCCGUUACUUGGGUAACCUUGGUUCGUUAACUUCUCUGUGCCUCAGUGUACCUAUCUGUAAAAUGGAGGCCAUAACACCUGGUGCUUUUUUUAAAUGUUUGCUUUUGAGAGAGAGAGAGAGAGAGAGACGGGGAGACAGAGAGACGGAGCACAAGUUGGGGAGGGGCAGAGAAAGAGGGAGACACAGAGUCCGAAGCAGGCUCCAGGCUCCGAGUCGUCAGCACAGGGCCCGACCUGGGGCUUGAACCCACGAACCGCGAGAUCAUGACCUGAGCCGAAGUCGGACACUUAACCAGCUGAGCCACCCGGGUGCCCCAGCACCUGCCUUCUUGGGUUGAGAGUCAGUGCUUGGAGAGUAUUUUGAACAGUGACGGGUGGGUCACGAAGCUCAGUGGCAUUAGCCAGCUUCACUGCUCCGCGGCCCCGUUCUCGUCGGUGCGGGUGGACCAGAAACUGAUUUAAACCACGGACAACAACGGGCCCCAGCUUCUUCCCGGGGACGAGAACUGGGUUCUUGGCCGAGUCGCAGCCCUGACCAGCCGCGUGAUAUUGAGACUCACAGGGCUCUGCCUGCAGAGCAGAACCUGCCUUUGGUUGUCGGCACCACCAGCUUUCUCACUGCACGACUCCGAGCCUCAGUCUCCCCAUCUGUAAAACGGGAAUGCACGGUGAGGGCCUGGCCGGUGCUCAUCCCUCCACAGAUGGGGUCAGGGGCGCUUCCCGACCAGUACAUGGAUGUGCAGAUGUGCUCAGACAUUGGCACACGCGCACUUUGCUGCCUUCUUCGAGCGGCCUGCCUGGGACGCUUCUCUGCCCGCUCGCCGCUUCUAGACUCCUCUGGACUCCCCGGCCAGGUGGAGGCCGGAGGGUCCUGCCGGGCUGUGGCCUCCCUUGGCGGAUGCGGUCGCCCCGAACCUCAGUUUCCCCAUCCGCAGACAGCGUCCCCUCCAGGGGUUUCUCGCGGCCACAGGAAGCAUCUGGAGUUCUGGGUCGAUUCUGAAGCCACAGCCUCUGUCGGGACGUCAUCCGGAACUCCGGCUGGGUGGUUCCUGAGUCUACACAGCGUGGGCGUCGGCUGUGGCAGCUGCUGGAGGGUGUGCUCUGAGGCCGAGCGUCUAGGGGGGCUCGCGUCCCAGCACCCCCCCUCCCCAACCCCCGUGGAAGGCCCCGCUUGGGGGAAAGCAGGCAUAUGGAACCCAUUUGGGAAAUUCUUUCUGCAUAAACCACUUUUUCCAGAGAGCAUUGUCAAGACUUAUUAGGGGAGGAACCUUGGCUGUUCCCAUCACGGGACCUUCCGGCCUCACGCGAGAAAUGGUCAGUAGCCGCGUCCCCGUGGAUGGUUCGGAGAGUCGGGAAGACGGGCGUGUGAGAUGCCACGUCAGGAAGAAGAGGCAGAGUGGAUUCACGGAUUCGUUCUCUUUUCUGGGGAGAGUAAAUGGAACUGUCACCCCUUUCUCAAGGGCAGAUGCAAACGGUCUUUUCAAAUCAGUUUGGAGGAAAAUAAAUGAGCCCAUGCUGGGGCUUCAAUAAAUCUUUGCGUAAAGCCACAAGGGACAAAGGGAGCUUUGGGCAUUUCUCCCCCUCCGGGAGGGUCUCCCGGUGAAAUAUUUGUCGUGGCCGUGCUCCGCGUGUGACCGGGGUCCGUGUCUCUGAGCCAGGACCUGUCUCCAGGAGGCCAUCUGUGUGCUGACCUUCCGCCCAGCGGCUCGAGGACCCCCACCCCGGCUGCAGGCGACUCUGGUCCCCCAAGGAGGAUCAUCUCUCCUGGCCUCCCUGCUGGGGACCGGAGGUUGGUGGCAGCAGUGUGGCUCGUCGCUUCCUGGCCCGUCUCCCGUGCUGUCCCCACCCACUGGCCAAAUGGUGGCCUGGUCUCCAUCCGCACUCUUCUCCCUCUGUCUCCCUGACACUCUACAUCCAGUGUCCCAGCCCCCAGCACGUUGCCCAGGCGGCUUGGCACCUGGGGUGACCUUCACCUACCAGACCCCCCUGGAGGAGCCUUGCUCUCCCGUGAGGGAUGACCCCCGAGGCUCCUCGACGCCGUGAUGCCUCCCUUGAUUUCCCUUCCUGAUGCAGUGGACCUCCAUUCUUUCUAGGCGGUGGGCAUGUUGUGGACACUUGCCCUUCCCUGUGAUUUCCACUUGGCACCUCUCUGGCGUUUUCACGGGUUCCUCCACUCUGGGUCUGUCUGAUUCCUUUCUUAGAGGGAGGUCGGGAGUAACAGGCCGGGCUGAGCGUGGCACGCGUGCGCUCCAUGGGCCACGGGGACCCGUGGAGCCGGAGGCGACAGCAUCCGUGGGCCAGGAGGGGGCCUCAGUGCCCAGCGGGAGAGGAGAGUCCCUCCCUGACUCCAGGAUGCAUGGAGUGGACCACUUGUCCACCCCUGCCUGGCCGUCUGGACUGGGGUAAUCGUGUCCCCUCACCCCCCCCCCCCCCAAAUUCAUACCCACCACAUCUCAGAACGUGAACUUAUUUGGAAGUAGGGUCUUUGCCGCAGAUGUAAUUAAAGUCCGGGUCUUGAGACGAGAUCAUCGUGGCUUAGGGAGGGCCCCAAAUCCCACAAGUGUCUUUAUAAAGGACAGAGGUGAAGACCCACGCACACACAGAGACCGUGUGAGAUCGGGGCAGAGAUGCGAGCGCUACGGCCGCAGCCCGGGGAUGUCCGGAGCCCCCGGAAGUUGUAGGGCGCGGGAAGGACCCUCCCCGAGAGCAUCUGGAGGGCGCAGGGCCCCUCCCACCCUUGAUUUCAGAUCUCUGGCCUCCAGACCGGCAGAGAAUCAGUCUCUAUUGUUUUAAGCGACCAGCUGUGGGGUUCUUUGUUACCGCAGCCCCGCGACACUCAGACGACAUCCGUUACCAACAGGACUGAAGGAAGUGGGCGGAGAUUUCCCUAGUUAGCGGUCUCCCUCUCCGAGAGGGUCGGCCUGCCGUCCCAUUGCUGCUGUCCACACCACCGUGCUGGCUGAGACAGGAUUGCCACGGGCUCGGCCCUCUCCCACCCCACAGCCGCCCUCACAGACAGGGGCCGCUGCGACCUCUUCCACGGGCAGGGAAACUGAGGCUCAGAGAGGCUGGGGAAGAGCCACAGCUAUGGCGCUUGGCCACUGGGUUGGCUCCAGCUCAUGGCCUCUGCCCCCGGCGACUUACUCCAGGCCCUUGAGCGCCACUCGAUCCAGAGCCGACCCUCAUCAUCUGUUCCUGGGGCUGCGAACAGCGCUUGUAGCCGUGGAACCCUCAGGGUGGGAGCCCACGGACUUUCCAGAACAUUUGCCCGAAGCAGUGAGGAUUCACUGAAUGAAGGAAUCCCUGAUGAUGAACUGAUGAAUGAAGCCGGUCUGGUGGGCUCCAGCGGUAGAGACCACUUGUGACAUGCGGCCAUUCUUUCCCCCGGGUUUCUGCACGUGGAUAUACUUGAAAAACAAACACAAAAUUGAGGCCAAAGUGUGUUUAUCGUUCAAUAGACUUCUGGUUUCUUGUUUCAUUCUGUUUUUGGUUUUUUUUUGGUAAAAAUGGCAUGAUUCCUGUGUCCCCAUUACCUGACCUAUUCCCUUAAACAUGACUCUUGAUGGAUGUAAUUUGUUCUGGAAGCGGGACUUGGACGCAUGGUGGAUGGGAGGGAGGGCGCCAGGGUCGGGGGGACAGUGUGAGCGGAGGCCUGACCAAGGGAACUUCUCCAGGAUCACUGGAGUAGGGUAUAAUGGGGGUGGUGGGCAA